AAGGAAAUCUUGGUGUCUGGCCCCAAUGAUUCGGUCGUCAAGCCCUUGUUGUAAAGCAAGGAGAUGUAUCAGCAAAAAUAUUGCUACGGGAGGAACCAAGAUGGCGGCAUAGGUCCUGGUUGCCUUGCCGGCCAUGGCUAAGCUUCUAUUACCUGAGACCAAGUACCUGUGUGACUGAACGGUGAUCAUGAAGAAGGCAAAGGAUACUGAAACAAGAAGUCCGAUGUCCAGUCCCAGGACAAUUGCAGCUAUGAAUGUCAUCAUCCAAAUAAUCUUACCGGAAGAAGGGAAAAGGAAGACCAUGUAGCAAGCAGAGAUGAGAAAAUCACCAGUCCUAUCUCUCAGCUCGCCCUCUCCCUCUCCCUCCUGACACCUGGGAUUUAGAGGACAAAUUAAACAGCCGCGUGAACUGAUGCCAUCACAAAGGGCUGGCCCAAGGCUGCCGAGCAGUUCUUCCAUGC